rnacentral:tRNA from 1 species
CAGAAAAUAGUUUAAGAAAAUAUUAAUUUUGGGGAUUAAAGAUAGAGGUUUGCCUUUUUUUCUGA